ACAAAAAAUUGAUGAAAAAGUGAUGAACAAAUUUUUUGCAAAUAAAAUAAGAAAUGUCAUUUUUUCUUUGAAUCCUUUAUUUAAAUUAUUUUAUUAAAUAACUCUCUUCUUUAAAAAUCUUAUAUUAAGUUUUUCACGUGAAGUUUCAGUGGUAAAUUUUUUAUUUUUAUUUCAAGUCAUCCAUUUAAUCUUAAGAACCCUUCACUCGCCUAAAAACGUAUACAUUCAUAAUCAUUACUCUGCCGUUUAUAAGAUCUGAGCAUUAGUCACACUCGAUGUUACAAAAUAUUUUUGUUUUUGAAAUACUUGAAAAAAUGAAUAGCUAUUAAUUUAACGUAUAUUAAUUAUUUAAUUGAAUUAAUUCGAAAUAAUUAGAAAUAUUUAUAAUAAAGUUCUACGUGUACUUUAUACAAUUUUUUAUUUAUGAUAUAAAAUAAAAUUAUUUCAGUUUUUAUGAAUUUUUCAAUGAAUGGCUAUUUUACACAGAGAUGGAUAGCUAUUGAUGGAAGUCAAUAGUUUAGAAUUUCAACAGAUGGAAAUUAGCCAUACAGUUCAAACUUUACAGUUCGCAGAGUUAUAAUUACGUAAAACAUCUUUUAAAUUAUCUUGAAAAUUAUCUUCAAACUUAUUUUAUUUUAUAAUAUUAUUUUAUAAGUUCUAUUGUAAUGUUAAUAACAUUGAUUAUAUUAAGCUGAUUUAAAAUUUAUGUUCUUUUCAACAUUUGUAUAUUUUCCAUAAAAAUUUAUAUAAAAAAUUGUGAAUUGCAUAAUUCUGAUAAUUCAUGUUUUUUGUUUCGAUUUUCGAAAAGAUUAAUAUUCUAUCUAGUUUCAUCCAUCUAUUGGCAUAAUUAUUAAGUAAUUCAUUGAAUCUUGAUCCAGUGAUCUUGAACGAUCAAAGAUCAAUGAUUUAUAUGAUCGAAUUGGAUGAAACUAUAACCAGAUAUGGUUUCCUGUCCAUAUAAGUCCAUAUAAUGGAAAAUAUUAUUUGUUUGAAUUAUUUGUUUGAACAGAAUUUUUUUUCUGUGCCGCUUUUUAUAUAAUUGUAAUUGGAAGAUUUCUAAGAACAGGAAGAUCUUUCUUUUUCCCUUUACGAACUUGAUAUAUUACCAUCUCUUACUUUUUCUUCUUUAAAAUGAAGUUGUGUAUUCUCUUUUACUGGAUGAUAUUUUUCUUUAAUUCAGUUGAUUUUAAUUCAGUUGAAAUCUACAGUGAAUACUAUUUGAAUUGAUAUUUUUAUAUAUCUAGCUAAGAUUUUAUUUUUUUUUUGUGCAUAUUAUAUAACUGAUGAAUAUUAAUCCAUAUUGCUGAUUUUAAUUUUCUAAAAGUAAUUGUUUCUUUUUGUUUGUUUAAUAAAUCAAAAUAAUAAAGAUACAAAUCUAUUCGUAACAAAAGUGUCAAAUUUUGCUUCAAUAUUUGUUACAUUCCAUUGAUUUUUACUUUCGCAUUUUUGUACAUAUUAUUUUAAUUUAAUUAUAUUUCAAUUCCAUUUAAUAAACAAUAAUAAUUCAUCUAUCUAGUACAAGAUUUUAGAUUUUUUUUACAUAUAAUUUUUCAAUAUUUUAUUUUUACGUGUAUCAUUUCAAUUUUUUCAACAUCCAAUUCCCAACCCAAAUUAUAUUUUAAUUCCAUUCAACGAACACUCCAGAUCGACCUAUUCAUCGCGUACAAAAUUUCACAAUCUUUUUCCACGCAUGGUCAGGGGGAGGAGAGGUGUGUUCGAUAAUUCCAUUUCGCUGGAUCGUUGCUCGUAGAGAUCGAGAUCAUCGCUGAAACUGACAGCCCGUUCUCAAAUAACCCCCGUACACGGUAAUCGAGCGAACCUUCCCAUGAUUCGUAUUUUUAAAAUUCCAAUUUCGCGAUCGGGCCGAUGGUUCAGCGAAAAAUGGAAACGGUAGCUGCGCUUUCACGUCUCCGCGUAACCGGAAAUCCACCGCCAACACUAUUGACGAACUCGAAGAAACGCCGAGUUUCCUGAAUAGGCGCUUUUGAUAAAGGUGUAUCGAAGCGCCCUCUAUGUAAAAUUCAUGCUAUGCAAAGAAUCGGAUAUGUGUUAUUGUUCGGGUGGUUUUUGAUCUCUGAAGAACAAUGAAUAAAACAAGAUGUUCCGUGGAUUGAUACUGCUUUUAUAACGAUUGCAUUGCAUGUCUUUAACGAAAUUAUGAUUUGAUAUGUAUUUUUGAAUACAUCGAAGAAUCUAGAAUUCGGUUUAGAAUCGAUCUUCCAAGAUGUCCCACGAAUAUAUUAACACUUUGUACAUUGGUUUUGAGUAACUGUGCGCUACAACGCGAUGUAUUAUUCAAAAGGCGAACCUACGAUAAUAAAAGCAAAACGCGCAGUUAGUUUUUAAUGCCAUUGUGGAAACGCAGUCGACGAUAUUUCCUUCAUCGCGAAGAAAAUAUUUGCUGAAAAUUUCAUUCCCUUUACUAUAACCUUUAUACUAUCUUCUUGCGAAAAAGUCUUCGCUUAUAUUUCAUUUUAUUUUCUUUUUUCAGAAUUUUGAUCAAAAAGCUGGAAAAUCAUAGAGAACAAAACAUUUAAUUUCUUCAAGAAACUUGUAACGUCGUUGAUCUCCGACACGAUGGAUGUUGCGGAUUUGGAAAGCAUAGAAUUUUUGUGCUGAAAGAAAUUAGAUAAAUUGAAAGAUAAGGACAUAGAAAAUAAUUUUAAAUGAAAUAAGUUAUUUUGAUGUAAUUUAUUAUAAAUUAAUUUUAUAAAAGUUUGACGUCUUAAUUAAAAUGUUUAUUUCUGUAUUUUAUUUUUUAUAAUAUUAUAUUGUUUUAUUUAAUUUGUAUUAUAUAUAAAUAUAUAUAUAAUUACAUUAUUGUAAUUUGUAAUUUUUUAUAAUAAUUUGUAAAAUUGAAAGCUUUGUAAGAUUUAUAUUCAUUUUUUAUUCUACUAAAUUCCAUUUUAUUUCAUGAAUAUUUAUAAUAUAUGAAAUAUGCAUAUAUGUAUAUUUUCCUUUACGAUUUUAAAAUUUAUAAGAAAAUUUAUAAAUAUCCAAUUAAAAAUGUAUUAUUAUUAUAAGAAUUGACUUAAUUACAUAAAAUAAAAAGUAUUUUAUUUAAAA